UCAUCCGGUCUUUCACUACAAAAGACACGGCGUGGCAGCUUCACAAAUCUGCCGGGGAGAAUUAUGUCUCUCAUUAUAAAACUAAGUUGUCUUUGGCAGCCGCACAGCAAACACCAUGCAUCCGUCAUGAAAUGACUCGAUACCUUUGUAAAAGAGGUUCUGAUGGCACCACCAGGCCGACUGACUAGUUGAUCUGGUCUGAGGCGGCUGUAGGAAGUACUCCCAUGAUAUCAGAGGCUGCCAUUAUGUCGUCAGGAGUCGGGUGCCCAGUGCUGCAGUUUGGUGUCCGUCUGACCAUGUGACCUGCAGUGAACCGCCCUCCACCCCAUCCCUCGGGCUCAAUGCUUCAGUCUGUUUGGUCAAUAUGAGACUGUGACCUGCAGUGAUCAACAUUCCUCUGCACUCUGGUUCCAUAGAUGGGAGGGGCUGCCCAUCCUGUGGUUUCUCUGGAGUGUUUCAGAAUCAGAAGGGUGCUGACCUACUUCCAACAUGUUGAAGGGGUGCUUACUGCCCACAGCUGGUGUUAUCCAGUAUAUGCGCUAUGUAUCAAACUAAGCAUUGUAUGUGGGCCAAAUCAUUAGCUAAAUCUUGUCAUCAAUUGGGCAAGUUCAAUAGACUAGACUGUUUGUUAUAACCCUGGAAUGUACGCUGAAAUGGGGGGGGUUAGGUCUGUGAUAACACUGAAAUGGUUUCCUGAUCAAUUUGUACAGGCCCUAGUUUUAGCACACCUGGGCUGCAGUCCAAACACUUAAGAUGCCCCCUGUCCCUUCAGCCCUCAUUAAGUGGACACUUCUGAUAACCUAUAAUGCUGCCUGAUGAGUAUACACUUGCAGGGCAAGGAAGGAAUGAUUUUUAAAUGGACUGGUCUGGAAAUCGAUUGCUCUGUCGUCCCGUGAUUGUCUUUUUGGCCACCGGGUAGCUUGUGGGUGAUUUUAUGGGCUACAGUCAAUUAUGAUUGCAUGUCUAAAUAUAUAAUUGUUAAUUUACACGUACUGUAUGUUAGCUAGCAAAUUAGUUAACUACCGUUAGCCUGUCUAGCUGGAACUUCUGACGAUAAAUGUAUUAAUACAAUUUCCAAAAGCUACCCAAAUAUUACUUUACGAGAUGUGUUUGUGCUGUCAUGUGCAUUAGUAGUACAAUUUAGAACUUGUUUACAUUCGUUUUUACUUACACUUGUAAAUUGACAAAUAAAACGGGGGCUUACGUUAAA